CCAGCCCUCGCCUCAUCCCACCCCUCUCAAGGCAGCGCAGAGGCCGAUUCGGCGGCCAUAGAGGAGGUACGAGAUGGAAACCUCCCCACCUACCUGAGGACUAAAACAUCGCAGGGGAUUUGUCGGGGGUUGGCAAUUAACCGGAUCACUCUGGUCACACAAAAGAGGAUCCGAGUUGUAUAUCUUUCUAGGCACCGCUGAGCGAGUGUAUCCUCACCCACGCCAAAUGCCCAUAGGUUUAACCAACAACUUUCUACCAACUUCGAGUGGAACGAGUAGGACAAAGCUUAUGUCGACUGCAUAGACCGGGUGUGGAGUGGCCGGUAUAAGAAGUUGAAGUUCGAGCUGCACAAGUAUUAUGACAGUAUUCCGACGCUUGAGGCAGCUUUUACAGAACCACCCCAUGAGUUUGUGGAGAAGGUGGCCGAGUGGUAGUGGCUUUGCGAGCAUUUUCAGAGUAAAAAAUAUUUAGAAAAAGCUAGCAGCAAAUAAAGGUAAGCUGGAUAAGAAGUCAUACCUUCACCAUUCCCGUUCUCAACCCCUAUCUUACCGGGUCGAGGAACGACGCGCUGCUGAGGAGCAUUCCCAGAAGGUGGUGAUUUGGGGGAGACAAACACUAAUUAUGGCAACGAGGCCGUGAACAAAAUUUAUAAGAAGGAUGAGUACCUCGCCAACAUCUCCCAACAGCAACUGAACGUGCUUAUGGAGGAGCUGACACGUGAUCUAGAGGUGUCUCUCCAGCAGCCACCACAGUAGUUUACAUUUUUUUUUGUUAUAAAUAAUUAUUUUUUCAUUUUUUAUUGUAAUUAUUGUUUUUUUUUCAAUUUAGAAUUAAAUACAUUAUUUAAUAUAAGCAGUGUCGUUACUUUUUUUUAAUUUAAAAAACAAAAUGCCCGACGAACCUUUCGUCUCACAAAAAAAUUAACAAAAUUUUAAAUUUGGUUCCGUAGAAUUUUCCCAACGAUUCAGCAAUCGGGUUAAGCUCAAUACCUUAUUUAAUUAUGUGCUAGCCGACGACAUAUCAUUCUUCAGGCAAGUGGACUCCAUUGGGUCAA